rnacentral:rRNA from 1 species
CUACGGGUUGCUGCAGUGAGGAAUAUUGCACAAUGGGGGGAACCCUGAUGCAGCAACGCCGCGUGGAGGAUGACGCAUUUCGGUAUGUAAACUCCUUUUAUAUGUCAAGAAAAUGACGGUAGCAUAUGAAUAAGCACCGGCUAACUCCGUGCCAGCAGCCGCGGUAAUACGGAGGGUGCAAGCGUUACUCGGAAUCACUGGGCGUAAAGGACGCGUAGGCGGGUUGGAAGGUCAGGUGUGAAAUCCUACAGCUUAACUGUAGAGCUGCACUUGAAACUUCUAAUCUAGAGUAUGGGAGGGGGAGAUGGAAUUAGUGGUGUAGGGGUAAAAUCCGUAGAUAUCACUAGGAAUACCUAAAGCGAAGGCGAUCUCCUGGAACAUUACUGACGCUAAGGCGUGAAAGCGUGGGGAGCAAACAGGAUUAGAUACCCCGGUAGUC